GAAAUGUGUUGAGGCGCAGUAGUUGACUGGACAUAUAGGGGUAAAGCAUUGUUUCGGUGUGAGCUGCGAGAGCAGUACUAAAUUGAGGCAAACUUUGAAUACUAGAUAUGACCUCAAAAUAAUAGGGGUCUAGGUCGACUAGUGAGAUGAUGGGGGAUAAGCUUCAUCGUCGAAAGGGAAACAACCCGAAUCACCAACUAAAGCCCCUAAAUAACCACUCAGUGAUAAAAUAGGUAGGGGUGCAGAGACAGGCAAGAGGUUUGCACUCAAAGGUAGGGUAUUUCCCAUUUUUAUAGGAACUUUUGUACCAAAAACAAUGGUAUCUCCAAUUCUAGCCCCUCUGGGAUGUAAAAUAUAUCUCUUCUUACCAUCCCUA
rnacentral:ncRNA from 1 species